rnacentral:rRNA from 2 species
AGCGGACAGAUGGGAGCUUGCUCCCUGAUGUUAGCGGCGGACGGGUGAGUAACACGUGGGUAACCUGCCUGUAAGACUGGGAUAACUCCGGGAAACCGGGGCUAAUACCGGAUGGUUGUUUGAACCGCAUGGUUCAAACAUAAAAGGUGGCUUCGGCUACCACUUACAGAUGGACCCGCGGCGCAUUAGCUAGUUGGUGAGGUAACGGCUCACCAAGGCAACGAUGCGUAGCCGACCUGAGAGGGUGAUCGGCCACACUGGGACUGAGACACGGCCCAGACUCCUACGGGAGGCAGCAGUAGGGAAUCUUCCGCAAUGGACGAAAGUCUGACGGAGCAACGCCGCGUGAGUGAUGAAGGUUUUCGGAUCGUAAAGCUCUGUUGUUAGGGAAGAACAAGUACCGUUCGAAUAGGGCGGUACCUUGACGGUACCUAACCAGAAAGCCACGGCUAACUACGUGCCAGCAGCCGCGGUAAUACGUAGGUGGCAAGCGUUGUCCGGAAUUAUUGGGCGUAAAGGGCUCGCAGGCGGUUUCUUAAGUCUGAUGUGAAAG